UGUAAGCGUAUACCAAAGUUGUUGCAGUUAAAACGCUCGUAGUCGGAAUUUGGCAGUUCCGGAUGUGUGCACGUCGUGUGUGCACUUCGCGGGGAUUGCUUUUGUGGUCUUGCGUAGGAUGAGGCACUUUUAUUAGUGAACGUCCUCACGCAACCACUUUUUACUGUGAGAGAAUCAGAGUGCUCAAAGCAGGCAUUUGCCGUGAAUGUAUUAGCAUGGAAUAAUAGAAUAGGACUUGGUUCUAUUUUGUUGGUUUGUUGGGACUGAGUAAUGAUUAAGAGGGACAGUUGGGGGCAUUUGUAUUUCGGUGCUAGAGGUGAAAUUCUUAGAUUACCGAAAGACAAACUGCUGCGAAAGCGUCUGCCAAGGAUGUUUUCAUUGA
rnacentral:rRNA from 1 species